UCAUCAGCCCAGCACCAGGGUCCUGCUGGAUCAGAUUGCAGGAAUCAGCAGUGCGAGCUUCCCCACACAGAUACACCAACGUGCCUCAGCUCUGACCUAGCGGGACCAGCUCUAGGAAUCAGAAGGUAGGUCAGUCUCCAUGGCCCCAUCAGUCCUGAGCACU
rnacentral:sRNA from 1 species